rnacentral:lncRNA from 1 species
UGUGGGGGCGAGUGAAAGUGGGCUUAAGUUUAGGGGCGGUCUCGGGAGAGCGGGCCCCCCACGUUGAGAACGCUGCAAAGUUUGUCUCCUGGUCAAGUUCACGAGCGAUCGUCCGCGCUGCUGUUUGGCUGAGCCCAGAAGCCAAGUGAUUUGCAUUGCUCGAAACUCGGUGCUCAGCGAAGUCUGCGUUGCACCCCCACUGCACCCUCCAGACCAUGGGAGAAAGGGUCUGCAAGUGGGGCCGGUGAGACCCAACACACUGGGCUGAGCUAGUGGGACAUCGUCGCCUCCAGGGCCAGGAGGUGGUCGCCGAACAAACCCCUUUUCUACCCUCCUUCGGAGUUUCCCAGAACCUCGAUGAAAUGACGGAAUAUGAGUGUGACUUGGCUGAACCAGGUGUCCUUACCCCUGUGAGGAGCGGUGAGGAGAGGAAGAUUGUCAGCUUGCAAAUAUGCAUUCAUGUCACAAUUGGAGUAAGGAGGCAGAAAUGAAGAAAAUUGAAAUACAAGUAAGUGAACUGAGUCAUUGGAGAGCAUGCACAGACUAGGUUUUGAUCAAGGAGGAAUGAGUAAUGGCUGUGUACACCGUCGUCCUUCUGGUGACUUAAUUUCAGCAUUCAGAACUUCCACAAAACUUUUGGGAUCAUAAAGUGGAAGUCAUCCCUUUCCCAGUGCAGGAAUCCCUUUGGCAGCAUCUUCAUUUGCUUACGUACUUCUGGUGAUCUUCAGGGCUGGGCAGUGGUAAUUCUGCUGAAUGCUGGUCGUUGGACCUCAUUGGGAGCACUGUG